AAGUACCUUAAGUUCAAGUUUGGGUGGUCCCUCGAUUGACAACUCAGGCUGCGUGUAUUCACUAGCUUCUAACUCCAAUGGUUCAAACUGUGCUAGUUAAACACAGUCCCUCAUAUUGGCUUCCAUCAUAGCCAUAUUUUCAUUACCUUUUUCAUUUUCCAAUGGCUUAGACCCUAAAGUGUUCUCCAAUGGGUCUUCUUCAAAAUUAUUCUCCCAUUCCAUAAAAACUAAAGUUUCUAAC
rnacentral:lncRNA from 1 species